rnacentral:lncRNA from 1 species
GAGGAUCUGUUGGUUUAGGAUAUAACUUUUGGUUCAUGAAGAAGCGAUCCCUCCGCAUCAAGAUAGUCAAUCGCUGCUCCUAGAACCGGGGGAAGACUAAAUGGGCGAAAAGAAGACAUUCCGGGGGCAGCAAUCUAAGAGAUUUUAGAAUCCCUGCCCCAGCAGCAGCAGCAACGAAACCCUAGAAAUCUCCCGUUUCACCUCUCCCUUGUCAAUGUAAGCCUCUCCAUUUUUCAAUCUCCUGUUGCUCAAUUCCGUUGUUACCAAUGAUUGCUCUGCCUACAGUUCCGUUUGCUUUCAGUAUGAACCAGUGCAUGAAAAUGCAAGUGCUAAAUUUCUUCCUUUUCUUCUUUUGAAUUUGAAUUGUUAAGUGGAUUUUCGCUUUGUUAUCUUUUUAAUUAGUGUGUUGGUUUCGAUGUGGAAUAACUGAAUCGAUUGAGAGUGCGCUGUGAGGUGAAAGAAAAAGGAAGAACAAAAAAUGAGUAGGCUAUCGUUUAGGCCACGCCCAUUGGAC